rnacentral:rRNA from 1 species
UACGUAGGGGGCAAGCGUUGUUCGGAAUCACUGGGCGUAAAGGGAGCGUAGGCGGAGGGAUAAGUUAGAAGUUUAAUGUACGGGCUUAACUCGUAAUCUGCUUCUAAUACUGUUUUUCUUGAGUAUGGGAGAGGGAGAUGGAAUUCCAGGUGUAGCGGUGGAAUGCGUAGAUAUCUGGAAGAACACCAGCUGCGAAGGCGGUCUCCUGGCCCAAUACUGACGCUGAGGCUCGAAAGCUAGGGGAGCAAACAGG